GAUGAAGAACGCAGCGAAAUGCGAUAAGUAAUGUGAAUUGCAGAAUUCAGUGAAUCAUCGAAUCUUUGAACGCACAUUGCGCCCGCCAGUAUUCUGGCGGGCAUGCCUGUUCGAGCGUCAUUUCAACCAUCAAGCCCCCGGCUUGUGUUGGGGACCUGCGGCUGCCGCAGGCCCUGAAAAGCAGUGGCGGGCUCGCUGUCACACCGAGCGUAGUAGCAUACAUCACGCUCUGGGCGUGCUGCGGGUUCCGGCCGUUAAACCACCUUCAUAACCCAAGGUUGACCUCGGAUCAGGUAGGAAGACCCGCUGAACUUAAGCAUAUCAAUAAGCGGAGGA
rnacentral:misc_RNA from 1 species